AUUGAACGCUGGCGGCAUGCCUUACGCAUGCAAGUCGAACGGCAUCGCGGGAAAGCUUGCUUUCCUGGCGGCGAGUGGCGAACGGGUGAGUAACACAUCGGAACGUACCGGCUAGUGGGGGAUAACCCGUCGAAAGACGGGCUAAUACCGCAUACGCUCUUCGGAGGAAAGCAGGGGACCUUUGGGCCUUGCGCUAGCCGAGCGGCCGAUGUCCGAUUAGCUAGUUGGUGGGGUAAAGGCCUACCAAGGCGACGAUCGGUAGCGGGUCUGAGAGGACGAUCCGCCACACUGGGACUGAGACACGGCCCAGACUCCUACGGGAGGCAGCAGUGGGGAAUCUUGGACAAUGGGGGCAACCCUGAUCCAGCAAUGCCGCGUGGGUGAAGAAGGCCUUCGGGUUGUAAAGCCCUUUCGGCAGGGAAGAAAUCGGCGGGGCGAAUAACCCUGCUGG
rnacentral:rRNA from 1 species